UUCCUCAAGGGCCUGGGCCAGGCCCUCGCCCUUGAGCGGCGCGGCCAGGGCGGCGGCCAGGCGUUCGAGUCGCACUGGAAGGGG
rnacentral:tRNA from 1 species